rnacentral:rRNA from 1 species
CUUUACUGCAACUUUACAGUGAUAUUUGAGGUGACAUGUGUAGAAUAGGUGGGAGACUUUGAAGCAGGACGCUAGUUCUGUGGAGUCGCAAUGUGAAAUACCACCCUUGUUACCUUUGGUAUCUAACCUGACGUGUUAUCCACGUUAGGGACCCUGUAUGGUGGGUAGUUUGACUGGGGCGGUCGCCUCCCAAAGUGUAACGGAGGUGCACAAAGGUCGGCUCAGCUUGGUCGGAAAUCAAGCAAAGAGUGUAUUGGCAAAAGCCGGCUUAACUGUAAGACAUACACGUCGAACAGAUACGAAAGUAGGUCAAAGUGAUCUGGUGGUUCCGCAUGGAAGGGCCAUCGCUCAACGGAUAAAAGGUA